rnacentral:rRNA from 1 species
AACGUAGGUUCCGAGCGUUAUCCGGAUUUACUGGGCGUAAAGCGCGUUCAGGCGGUUUGGCAAGUCGGGCAUGAAAUCUCUCGGCUCAACCGGGAGAGGUUGUCCGAUACUUCCAGACUUGAGGGCAGUAGAGGGUGGUGGAAUUCCGGGUGUAGUGGUGAAAUGCGUAGAUAUCCGGAGGAACACCAGUGGCGAAAGCGGUCUGCUGGGCAGUGGACUCGAGAGAGUCCUUCAACCGACACUGAGGCGCGACAGCGUGGGGAGCAAACAGG